rnacentral:rRNA from 1 species
AGUUUGAUCAGUGGCUCAGGACGAACGCUGGCGGCGUGCUUAACACAUGCAAGUCGAACGGUAAGGCCCUUCGGGGUACACGAGUGGCGAACGGGUGAGUAACACGUGGGUGAUCUGCCCUGCACUUCGGGAUAAGCCUGGGAAACUGGGUCUAAUACCGGAUAGGACCAUGGACUUCACGGUUUGUGGUGGAAAGCUUUUGCGGUGUGGGAUGGGCCCGCGGCCUAUCAGCUUGUUGGUGGGGUAAUGGCCUACCAAGGCGACGACGGGUAGCCGGCCUGAGAGGGUGUCCGGCCACACUGGGACUGAGAUACGGCCCAGACUCCUACGGGAGGCAGCAGUGGGGAAUAUUGCACAAUGGGCGCAAGCCUGAUGCGGCGACGCCGCGUGAGGGAUGACGGCCUUCGGGUUGUAAACCUCUUUCAAUAGGGACGAAGCGCAAGUGACGGUACCUAUAGAAGAAGCACCGGCCAACUACGUG